CAUAACUUCAAAAUGAGGAAGGAGCGUUUUCGGGACCAUCCACCACUAAAAUGCAUAUACCUCAGAACUGAAGCAAGGCAAUGCUUUAUUGCAGAUAAUCAAGAACUCCAAAUUUUAAAAAAACAAUCUCUUCUAUUUUCGAUAAGGUGGGAAAGAGAAGCAAGACAUUACUCCUUAGACACCUAAAGCCAUCACUGAUUGUUCACCAGUCUGGCUGGAACAAGAUCCUCGGAGGUAUUUAAGUGCCUGAGUCCCAGGAAUCUAAAUACCUUUGAAAAUCUCAGCUGUCAUCUGUCUCACGAUCAGCAGAUCCAGAUAACUUGCAUCCAAGAGCUUCAAAAGAGCCAUCUGAGAAGCUUGCUGGACCAUUAAUGUUGAUUUUCAGUAAGACUUGGCACGCUGGGGAAGUUCCAGAACACUAGAAGAAAGCCCUGCAUCUGACUCCUGACCCCCAAGACCAUCGGACUGACUCCAACUCAGCUUCAACCUUUAGCCGUAUCUGGACUCCAACUACAAUACUGAUGUUGCUUUUCUAUGAAUUCUGACCUCAGAACUGACCCACAGCCUGUUCCCUGGACUCCAUUUUCAGUGCAGCCCUCAGCCCAUCCCGACCCUCCAUUCAGCUUCAAACAACACUCCAACCACCAGGCCUGAAUGCCUGGAACCAGAGCUUGACACAUGGGGGUGAACCCUUUUCACAAAACAAUCUCUUCAUAUCUGACCUCUCCGUCCACGUCCUCAAAGGAAACCUGCACAUCUUGAAAGGACGAGCCUGGGAGCUUAAAUUCAUAACUUUACUAGACAUUAAAAAUCAUGGUCUUAAUAAAGACACUGGAAUUAUGGCUUAUUACAGCAAUCUGAAACCCAUUAACUCGCUUUUUUUGUCCUAUGACUGUCGGGGUGUUAAUGGGCCACUUUGCCUUGAAUGAUCUGUUAGAAUAUGUGUUAGCUACUUAUGCUAAACAAUCUGUUCCACGUUCUAUUUAGCUGUAGACCCGAAGA